ACCCCCGGCCACCCCGCCCCUUUUUGAUGGCGAAAACUUUAUUUAAAAAAUCGAUGUCACCGUCCCCAGUCCGCGAGUUCCCCGGUACCAGCAGAGGUGCAGGAUGAUGGCAAGGCCUGGGCUGUCGCUUGUGCCUGGAGGGUCUGCCGCGACUGGAAGACUCAGUUUAGAGGACGAGUUAGUUAGUGCGGAUUCUUCACCAGCUGAGCUACCAAGAAGGGCGAAGCUCCAGCCAAAGAUCCGGAGAGAAGAGAGAGGAGAGCCGGCAACAGCCUUGGGGCCCCAGGGCCACCCGUGGGAGGGGACGCCGGGAGUGCGCGCGGAGGCAGCAGCGGUCCCUGGACAUCAGGGUCUUUUCCAAUGAAUCAGUUCUUCACAUCAGGUGGCCAGAGUAUUGGAGUUUCAGCUUCAGCAUCAGUCCUUCCAAUGAACACCCAGGACUGAUCUCCUUUAGGAUGGACUGGUUGGGCCUCGCUUAAUUGCCUUAGUGUUUCGCUGUAGCACAGGGGCUGGACGACCCCACGCCUAACCUUGGGC
ensembl:lncRNA